rnacentral:piRNA from 1 species
UCNCAAAAAACAUCAGUAAGUGCUCAGAGU